rnacentral:piRNA from 1 species
UAACCGUGGCUGGGAAUCUUAUUUCCAAAA